CAGUCGAACGGGGGCAGAUUGAAACCUAGUGAUAUCUGCCCGAGUGGCGCACUGGUGAGUAACGCGUGGACAACCUGCCGCAUGCAGGGGGAUACCGGCUGGAAACAGCCGCUAAUACCGCAUAUGCGCACGGCGCCGCAUGGCGCAGUGCGGAAAGGGAGCAAUCCCGGCAUGCGAUGGGUCCGCGUCCGAUUAGCUUGUUGGCGGGGCAGCGGCCCACCAAGGCGACGAUCGGUAGCCGGCCUGAGAGGGCGGACGGCCACAUUGGGACUGAGACACGGCCCAGACACAUACGGGAGGCAGCAGUGGGGGAUAUUGCACAAUGGGGGGAACCCUGAUGCAGCGACGCCGCGUGGGUGAAGGAGUGCUUCGGCAUGUAAAGCCCUAUCGGCAGGGAAGAAGCAAGACGGUACCUGACUAAGAAGCCCCGGCUAACUACGUGCCAGCAGCCGCGGUAAUACGUAGGGGGCGAGCGUUAUCCGGAUUCACUGGGUGUAAAGGGAGCGUAGACGGCCAUGCAAGCCAGGGGUGAAAGCCCGGGGCCCAACCCCGGGACUGCCCUUGGAACUGUGCGGCUAGAGUGCGGGAGGGGCAGGCGGAAUUCCUGGUGUAGCGGUGAAAUGCGUAGAUAUCAGGAGGAACACCGGCGGCGAAGGCGGCCUGCUGGACUGCGACUGACGUUGAGGCUCGAAAGCGUGGGGAGCGAACAGGAUUAGAUACCCUGGUAGUCCACGCCGUACACGAUGACUACUAGGUGUCGGGGGACGACAGUGCCCCGC
rnacentral:rRNA from 1 species